CUGCAUACAGGUCCACAUUUAUGAGUGAAUCUUGAUCGACUCCGAGAAACGGCUGCCCUAUUCCCAGCCGGUUUUCCUCCUCCGUUACACGGUGCACGAGCACGUAGGGCACUCUGCUGCAGAGGAAAUCGAAAUUUUGAAGAAGAUGGAGAAGGAAACCGACCUUGUCGGGGAGAAGCUUUGUAUAUGUCAAAGCAAUCAGCUGCUCUUGGGCUUCCCAUGUUAGGUGCUUCCUCUCCGACCUCGUUGCAUUGAUUCCACGACUCUAUCGCCACUCUUAGGCCGUCUCUUCUCAUGCCCGAGUCCCCGACUGCAGAUACCUCCCCACCUUGAAGACUCAAAGAAACGACCCUUGAAAGAGAGACGAGGAUCAAGACCGCAGCAAGAGCCAUGUUGCAAAGCGAAGAAGUCUCUUGGAGUUUAUGUGUACGCUUCCAUCUUCACACUCUUCUUUAUCAAGAAAUGCAGUUUGCUGAAGUAUUUUGAUCAGUCAAAAUGGUUAGUGAUUUUGAUUUUUUGUAGAGUAAUAGAUGCUUAGCUUUUCCUGCUCCAAAGUAGUUGGUAUUUCCAGUUGUUUUCCUAGAAUUGAUUAGGUUGGAAGUUUGAACAAAAAUCAUUAUCCAAAAUCAUCCUUUUCCACCAGAAAUGAUCAUCAUUGACAUUGAAUAUGAAAUGCUAGCUGAACUAAUGCUGAUGUGCUAAUUUUCUACA